AGUAAUGGUAGGCUCAUUUCGAGGGCUAAGCCAUGCAAGUGCAAGUACGCUUGCUAUCAAGCUUAACCGCGCGAGCCUCGUGCCUUCCUGGGACCGAGGACCAUCCGCAGUUAACGUCAGACCGAGUCGACUGCGUACGGCUCAGUAGACUCGUCAUAAUGGACGUUGGUAGAAUCGUAUCAACGAGGUUUGGAUAACGGUGACAAAUUUAGCGCUAAUACAUUAUGUCAUUAGUUAUCUAGGCAGCAUAGCUGCUUAACUUGACUGCAGUCGGGGAGAGCUAAACUUGUCUGAGCGGUCAAACGUUCUUACAAAAGCAAUCCCGGAGAGGGGCUGUAGUUGGAUCUUGUCGUCCAUUAAGACAAGACGCCUCAACACCGGAGGCGAGCUUAUCAGGCCUGAUGCGCGCAUCAGGUUCUUGCCUAGCUGUUACGAGUAACGGGGUAUCAGGGUACGAUACCGGAGAGGGAGCCUUAAAAACGGCUACCACUACCAAGGAAGGCAGCAGGCGCGCAACUUACCCAAUACCGACACGGUGAGGUAGUAAAAAGGAGUGACAUUGCGAAGAUCCUCUCGAGAGGCUUCGUUAUUGGAUUGAAAACAAUCCAAAUACAAUAAAAAGUUACUGGAGGGCAAGUCUGGUGCCAGCAGCCGCGGUAAUUCCAGCUCCAGUGGCCUACGUUAAUUUUGCUGCGGUUAAAAAGCUCGUAGUCAAGUUUGCGUUUGGUCGCGUCGGCAGUCUGAUUCUAUGGAAUCGCUCUGGCGCGCCGAACGUCAGGUUCGGAGCGUGCGAUUGAACUGUUUGCCUCUGCGCUUUCAGUAAAAAUCGGACAACGGACCACAUUACUUUAAGCAAAUUAGAGUGUUCAAAGCAGGUCAGGAGUGCCNUGUAUAGAGUUGUAUGGAAUAGUAUAAAAGGAUUGAGAACUUGCCCGAAUAGCUCUCGGGUGUUCUAAUAAUGACGAAGGGGGACGGCUGGGGGCAUCCGUAUUGCGGCGCGAGAGGUGAAAUUCUGAGACCGUCGCAGGACGACCUACAGCGAAAGCAUUUGCCAAAAACGUCUCCUUCGAUCAAGAACGAAAGUCAGAGGUUCGAAGGCGAUUAGAUACCGCCCUAGUUCUGACCUUAAACGAUGUUAACCAGUUAUCCGCCAUAGUAUAGAAUACUUGGUGGGCAGCUUCCGGGAAACCUAGAGUGUUUCAGUUCCGGGGGUAGUAUGGUUGCAAAGCUGAAACUUAAAGGAAUUGACGGAAGGGCACCACCAGGAGUGGAGCCUGCGGCUUAAUUUGACUCAACACGGGGAACCUCACCAGGUCCGGACAUGAUUGCGAUGGACAGAUCGAUAGCUCUUUCUAGAUCUCAUGGAUGGUGGUGCAUGGCCGUUCUUAGUUCGUGGAGCGAUUUGUCUGGUUAAUUCCGAUAACGAGCGAGACUCUACCUUACUAACUAAGACGUACGAUAUACACGAGGUCUGUUGCCGUACACUCGUUUGUCGCUCCGUACAUCUCGGUGUGCGGUAGUGUACUGCGGGUUACGGCACGGUCCAUACUAUCGGCGCAAAUGUUUUCUUCUUAGAAGAACAAGCUAUAUAUAGUAGCACGAGAGAGAGCAAUAACAGGUCUGUGAUGCCCUUAGAUGUCCUGGGCCGCACGCGUGCGACAAUGAAAGAGUCAAUAGGUGUCCUAGGCCGAAAUGUCUGGGUAAUCCUAGCAAUCUCUUUCGUGUUGGGGAUUGGGGCUUGAAAGUGCUUCCCAUGAACGAGGAAUUCCCAGUAAGCGUAGUUGAUCAAUCUACGCUGAUUGAGUCCCUGCCCUUUGUACACACCGCCCGUCGCUACUACCGAUGAGCGGGCUAGCGAGAUCUUCGGACCGGCGCCUCGAAAGAGGUCGUUACCGGAAAGUCGAUCAAACUUGCCCGUUUAGAGGAAGUAAAA
rnacentral:rRNA from 1 species